CCGACGCCGCUACAAGUAAACUAAAGGUAAUGCGGGACCCGCACAAGCAGCGGAGCAUGUGGUUUAAUUCGAAGCAACGCGAAGAACCUUACCAGAUCUUGACAUCCAAUUGACCAUCUUUUAAUCGAGAUUUUGCCUUCGGGUACAAUUGAGACAGGUGGUGCAUGGUUGUCGUCAGCUCGUGUCGUGAGAUGUUGGGUUAAGUCCCGCAACGAGCGCAACCCUUGUGUUUAGUUGCAAACAGGUCAAGCUGUGCACUCUAGACAGACUGCCGUGGACAACACGGAGGAAGGUGGGGACGACGUCAAAUCAUCAUGCCCCUUAUGAUCUGGGCUACACACGUGCUACAAUGGCCGGUACAACGGGCAGCGAAGGAGCGAUCCGGAGCGAAUCCUAAAAAGCCGGUCCCAGUUCGGAUUGCAGGCUGAAACUCGCCUACAUGAAGUUGGAGUUGCUAGUAAUCGCGAAUCAGAAUGUCGCGGUGAAUGCGUUCCCGGGUCUU
rnacentral:rRNA from 1 species